rnacentral:tRNA from 1 species
GGAGAUUUAGCUCAGUGGCAUAAGCGCCUGCCUUGCAAGCAGGCAGUCAUGAGCUCAUAGUAGCCA